rnacentral:rRNA from 1 species
GAUUCAUGACUGGGGUGAAGUCGUAACAAGGUAACCGUAGGGGAACCUGCGGUUGGAUCACCUCCUUACCUGAAAGA